rnacentral:rRNA from 1 species
AGUGAACGCUGGCGGUAGGCCUAACACAUGCAAGUCGAACGGCAGCACAGUAAGAGCUUGCUCUUACGGGUGGCGAGUGGCGGACGGGUGAGGAAUACAUCGGAAUCUACUUUUUCGUGGGGGAUAACGUAGGGAAACUUACGCCAAUACCGCAUACGACCUACGGGUGAAAGCAGGGGAUCUUCGGACCUUGCGCGAUUGAAUGAGCCGAUGUCGGAUUAGCUAGUUGGCGGGGUAAAGGCCCACCAAGGCGACGAUCCGUAGCUGGUCUGAGAGGAUGAUCAGCCACACUGGAACUGAGACACGGUCCAGACUCCUACGGGAGGCAGCAGUGGGGAAUAUUGGACAAUGGGCGCAAGCCUGAUCCAGCCAUACCGCGUGGGUGAAGAAGGCCUUCGGGUUGUAAAGACCUUUUGUUGGGAAAGAAAAGCAGCAGGUUAAUACCCCGCUGUUCUGACGGUACCCAAAGAAUAAGCACCGGCUAACUUCGUG